GAGUUUGAUCGUGGCUCAGAUUGAACGCUGGCGGCAUGCCUUACACAUGCAAGUCGAACGGCAGCAUGAUCUAGCUUGCUAGAUUGAUGGCGAGUGGCGAACGGGUGAGUAAUACAUCGGAACGUGCCCUGUAGUGGGGAUAACUAGUCGAAAGAUUAGCUAAUACCGCAUACGACCUGAGGGUGAAAGGUGGGGGACCGCAAGGCCUCAUGCUAUAGGAGCGGCCGAUGUCUGAUUAGCUAGUUGGUGGGGUAAAGGCCCACCAAGGCGACGAUCAGUAGCUGGUCUGAGAGGACGAUCAGCCACACUGGGACUGAGACACGGCCCAGACUCCUACGGGAGGCAGCAGUGGGGAAUUUUGGACAAUGGGCGAAAGCCUGAUCCAGCAAUGCCGCGUGUGUGAAGAAGGCCUCGG
rnacentral:rRNA from 1 species